UACAGGGGGUGCAAACGUUGCUCGGAAUCAUUGGGCGUAAAGCGCACGUAGGCGGUUCGUUAGGUCGGAUGUGAAAGCCCUUGGCUUAACCGAGGAAGUGCCUCCGAAACUGGCGAGCUAGAGUACUAAAGAGGAUCGCGGAAUUCCCGGUGUAGAGGUGAAAUUCGUAGAUAUCAGGAGGAACACCGGUGGUGUAAACGGCUGUCUGGACCAUAACUGACGCUGAGGCACGAAAGCGUGGGUAGCAAACAGG
rnacentral:rRNA from 1 species